ACUUCAGCGACAAACACUAACUCACAGCAAGCAUCAACCAAACCACAAAUGAAAGUACCGUUUGCCAAACAUUUUGCUCGCUCGUUAGUGCCGACCGUCAAUGUUGACAAAUCGAAGAAGGUGCUGUUUGAUGGUUGUUACAUCGG
rnacentral:ribozyme from 1 species